AGGGUUUGAUCCUGGCUCAGGAUGAACGCUGGCGGCGUGCUUGAUACAUGCAAGUCGAACGGUCCGGUUCGGGACUGAAGUUCUGGCGGAGGUGGACGGUGAGAAAUCGCUUGAACCCCCCAAAGGCGCGGACGUCCUAUUGCCGGUCAGUGGCGAACGGGUGAGUAACACGUGGGUAAUCUGCCCCAAAGUGGGGAACAACUGCCCGAAAGGGCAGCUAAUUCCGCAUGUGGUCCGACGCAAGUCGGAAGAAAGGGACUAUGUCUCGCUUUGGGAUGAGCCCGCGGCCGAUUAGCUAGUUGGUGAGGUAAUGGCUCACCAAGGCAACGAUCGGUAGCUGGUCUGAGAGGACGAUCAGCCACACUGGGACUGAGACACGGCCCAGACUCCUACGGGAGGCAGCAGUAAGGAAUAUUGCACAAUGGGGGAAACCCUGAUGCAGCAACGCCGCGUGAGCGAAGAAGGCCUUCGGGUCGUAAAGCUCUUUUCUAGGGGAUGAGGAAGGACAGUACCUUAGGAAUAAGUCUCGGCUAACUACGUGCCAGCAGCCGCGGUAAAACGUAGGAGGCGAGCGUUAUCCGGAUUUACUGGGCGUAAAGGGCAAGUAGGCGGUGGCCAAAGUUGGGCGUGAAAUAUCCCGGCUCAACUGGGAUGGUGCGUCCAAUACUGGGUCACUAGAGGGCAGGAGAGGGAGGCGGAACUCCUAGUGUAGCGGUGGAAUGCUCAGAUACUAGGAAGAACACCAGUGGCGAAGGCGGCCUCCUGGCCUGUUCCUGACGCUGAGAGGCGAAAGCUAGGGUAGCAAACGGGCUUAGAUACCCCGGUAGUCCUAGCUGUAAACGGUGGAUACUAGGUGUUGGGGGCUAUAAUGCCCUCAGCGCCGUAGCAAACGCGUUAAGUAUCCCGCCUGGGGACUACGGCCGCAAGGUUAAAACUCAAAGGAAUUGACGGGGACCCGCACAAGCAGCGGAGCGUGUGGUUCAAUUCGAUUAACACGAAGAACCUUACCUGGGUUUGACAUGUAUGUAGUAGGAAUCCGAAAGGGGACCGACCCUUCGGGGAGCAUACACAGGUGCUGCAUGGCUGUCGUCAGCUCGUGCCGUGAGGUGUCGGGUUAAGUCCCGCAACGAGCGCAACCCUCGUCGCUAGUUAUACGUGUCUAGCGAGACUGCCGGCAUAUAACCGGAGGAAGGUGGGGAUGACGUCAAGUCAGCAUGGCCUUUAUAUCCAGGGCUACACACACGCUACAAUGACCGGUACAAUGGGCUGCGAAGCCGCGAGGCGGAGCCAAUCCCACAAAGCCGGCCUCAGUUCAGAUUGUAGGCUGCAACUCGCCUGCAUGAAGUUGGAGUUGCUAGUAACCGCAGGUCAGCAAUACUGCGGUGAAUACGUUCCCGGGUCUUGUACACACCGCCCGUCACGUCAUGGAAGCUGGCAAUACCUGAAGUCGGUGAGCCAACCGAAAGGGGGCAACUGCCGAGGGUAGGGCUAGUGACUGGGACGAAGUCGUAACAAGGUA
rnacentral:rRNA from 1 species